GUUUGAUCCUGGCUCAGGACGAACGCUGGCGGCGUGCCUAACACAUGCAAGUCGAACGCUGUCCAUUCGGUGGCAACACUGAUGAAGACGGAGUGGCGAACGGGUGAGUAGCACGUGAGCAACCUGCUCCGAAGACCGGGACAACACCGGGAAGCCGGUGCUAAUACCGGAUGCCCCCACCGGGCCGCAUGACCUGGUGAGGAAAUGGAUUCCGCUUCGGGAGGGGCUCGCGGCCUAUCAGCUUGUUGGUGGGGUAAUGGCCUACCAAGGCUUCGACGGGUAGCUGGUCUGAGAGGACGAUCAGCCACACUGGGACUGAGACACGGCCCAGACUCCUACGGGAGGCAGCAGUGGGGAAUCUUGCGCAAUGGGCGAAAGCCUGACGCAGCAACGCCGCGUGAGGGACGAAGGCUUUCUGAGUUGUAAACCUCUUUCAGCAGGAACGAUAGUGACGGUACCUGCAGAAGAAGCACCGGCCAACUACGUGCCAGCAGCCGCGGUGAUACGUAGGGUGCAAGCGUUGUCCGGAUUUAUUGGGCGUAAAGAGCUCGUAGGCGGUUUGAUAAGUCGGAUGUGAAACCCCCAGGCUUAACCUGGGGCCGCCAUUCGAUACUGUCAUGGCUAGAGUCCGGUAGGGGACCAUGGAAUUCCUGGUGUAGCGGUGAAAUGCGCAGAUAUCAGGAGGAACACCAGUGGCGAAGGCGGUGGUCUGGGCCGGUACUGACGCUGAGGAGCGAAAGCGUGGGGAGCGAACAGGAUUAGAUACCCUGGUAGUCCACGCCGU
rnacentral:rRNA from 1 species